UACAGAGGGUGCAAGCGUUGUUCGGAAUUAUUGGGCGUAAAGAGCGCGCAGGCGGCUUGGCAAGUCGGGUGUGAAAUCCCGGGGCUCAACCCCGUGACUGCAUUCGAUACUGUCAGGCUAGAGGUAGGUAGGGGAGAUCGGAAUUCCUGGUGUAGCGGUGAAAUGCGCAGAUAUCAGGAGGAACACCGGUGGCGAAGGCGGAUCUCUGGGCCUUACCUGACGCUCAGGCGCGAAAGCUAGGGGAGCGAACAGG
rnacentral:rRNA from 1 species